rnacentral:rRNA from 1 species
UACGAAGGGAGCUAGCGUUGUUCGGAAUCACUGGGCGUAAAGCGCACGUAGGCGGAUGUGUCAGUCAGGGGUGAAAUCCCGGAGCUCAACUUCGGAACUGCCCUUGAUACAGCACGUCUCGAGUCCGAGAGAGGUGAGUGGAAUUCCUAGUGUAGAGGUGAAAUUCGUGGAUAUUAGGAAGAACACCAGUGGCGAAGGCGGCUCACUGGCUCGGUACUGACGCUGAGGUGCGAAAGCGUGGGGAGCAAACAGG